rnacentral:rRNA from 1 species
CCUACGGGAGGCAGCAGUGAGGAAUAUUGGUCAAUGGACGGAAGUCUGAACCAGCCAUGCCGCGUGCAGGAAGACGGCUCUAUGAGUUGUAAACUGCUUUUGUACAAGGGUAAACCUGAAUACGUGUAUUCAGCUGAAAGUACUUUACGAAUAAGGAUCGGCUAACUCCGUGCCAGCAGCCGCGGUAAUACGGAGGAUCCAAGCGUUAUCCGGAUUUAUUGGGUUUAAAGGGUGCGUAGGCGGAUUGUUAAGUUAGAGGUGAAAUGUCCGAGCUUAACUCGGGAACUGCCUCUAAUAAUGGUGAUCUAGAGAGUAGAUGCGGUAGGCGGAAUGUGUGGUGUAGCGGUGAAAUGCUUAGAGAUCAUGCAGAACCCCGAUUGCGAAGGCAGCUUACCAAUCUACAUCUGACGUUGAGGCACGAAAGCGUGGGUAGCAAACAGGAUUAGAUACCCGGGUAGUC